GGCACACACAGCAGCUAUUGGAGGCUACUACUGACAGUUUGCGCUACAGUUUUUUGAAAGAGAAAGAAGGGAAGAAUUAAGUACAGCUAAAGGAAUUUACAUUUCUUUUGGGGAAGUUUGCAGAGGGACAACGCAAAUGGAGCACCACUUGGGCCCCAAGUCUGUUUUUCUGCUUUGGACAAGGUAGAUGGAGCAAAGAUAAUAACAAGAGUA
rnacentral:lncRNA from 1 species